rnacentral:rRNA from 1 species
UACGUAGGUGGCUAGCGUUGUCCGGAUUUACUGGGCGUAAAGAGCGCGCAGGCGGUCGUUCAAGUCGAGUGUGAAAGCCCCCGGCUCAACUGGGGAGGGUCACUCGAUACUGAUCGACUCGAAGGCAGAAGAGGGAAGCGGAAUUCCCGGUGUAGUGGUGAAAUGCAUAGAUAUCGGGAGGAACACCAGUGGCGAAAGCGGCUACCUGGCCCAUUCUUGACGCUGAGGCGCGAAAGCUAGGGGAGCAAACGGG